CCUUGCUACGUGUCAUAGAGCGUUUUAUUAUGAUCAAGGCUAUAUGAGAAAACGAAUAUUGCAACGUGGCUUCAGCUUCUCGGUUCAUGCCCUAGCGACAAUUAGUUGCCGCAACGACUUUUGAAAUAUAGCGUCCGUACUCUAGUCGUCCCGCGACUCACUUUGUAACAACCUUACGCAUGUCACUUAGUACAAUCAUGGUUCUUAAAGCUCGAUGUUUAAUUGUUUUUGU
rnacentral:lncRNA from 1 species